rnacentral:rRNA from 1 species
GACGAACGCUGUCGGCGUGCUUAACACAUGCAAGUCGAACGGAAAGGCCCUGCUUUUGUGGGGUGCUCGAGUGGCGAACGGGUGAGUAACACGUGAGUAACCUGCCCUUGACUUUGGGAUAACUUCAGGAAACUGGGGCUAAUACCGGAUAGGAGCUCCUGCUGCAUGGUGGGGGUUGGAAAGUUUCGGCGGUUGGGGAUGGACUCGCGGCUUAUCAGCUUGUUGGUGGGGUAGUGGCUUACCAAGGCUUUGACGGGUAGCCGGCCUGAGAGGGUGACCGGCCACAUUGGGACUGAGAUACGGCCCAGACUCCUACGGGAGGCAGCAGUGGGGAAUAUUGCACAAUGGGCGGAAGCCUGAUGCAGCAACGCCGCGUGCGGGAUGACGGCCUUCGGGUUGUAAACCGCUUUCGCCUGUGACGAAGCGUGAGUGACGGUAAUGGGUAAAGAAGCACCGGCUAACUACGUGCCAGCAGCCGCGGUGAUACGUAGGGUGCGAGCGUUGUCCGGAUUUAUUGGGCGUAAAGGGCUCGUAGGUGGUUGAUCGCGUCGGAAGUGUAAUCUUGGGGCUUAACCCUGAGCGUGCUUUCGAUACGGGUUGACUUGAGGAAGGUAGGGGAGAAUGGAAUUCCUGGUGGAGCGGUGGAAUGCGCAGAUAUCAGGAGGAACACCAGUGGCGAAGGCGGUUCUCUGGGCCUUUCCUGACGCUGAGGAGCGAAAGCGUGGGGAGCGAACAGGCUUAGAUACCCUGGUAGUCCACGCUGUAAACGGUGGGUACUAGGUGUGGGGUCCAUUCCACGGGUUCCGUGCCGUAGCUAACGCUUUAAGUACCCCGCCUGGGGAGUACGGCCGCAAGGCUAAAACUCAAAGGAAUUGACGGGGCCCCGCACAAGCGGCGGAGCAUGCGGAUUAAUUCGAUGCAACGCGUAGAACCUUACCUGGGUUUGACAUGGAUCGGGAGUGCUCAGAGAUGGGUGUGCCUCUUUUGGGGUCGGUUCACAGGUGGUGCAUGCCUGUCGUCAGCUCGUGUCGUGAGAUGUUGGGUUAAGUCCCGCAACGAGCGCAACCCUUGUUCACUGUUGCCAGCACGUUAUGGUGGGGACUCAGUGGAGACCGCCGGGGUCAACUCGGAGGAAGGUGGGGAUGACGUCAAGUCCUCAUGCCCCUUAUGUCCAGGGCUUCACGCAUGCUACAAUGGCUGGUACAGAGAGUGGCGAGCCUGUGAGGGUGACCGAAUCUCGGAAAGCCGGUCUCAGUUCGGAUUGGGGUCUGCAACUCGACCUCAUGAAGUCGGAGUCGCUAGUAAUCGCAGAUCAGCAACGCUGCGGUGAAUACGUUCCCGGGGCU